ensembl:lncRNA
CUUGAGAAAGGGAAUCGACUCACUACAGGAAGUGAAUCAAACAUGUUCUGGGUUGUCGCUUUUUGUUGUCGAGUUUUUCAUGAGCUGUUCAACUGAGCCAAAGGACAGCUGUAGAACUGCAGAAAUACCAUGUGUUAUGGAGUUUUAGAGAAUAUAUGAACACCCGAAGAGAAAAUAAACACUGGAUGUGACAUACAAAAUGUUUUAGACUAAUUAUUUAUAUAAUCAUCUAAUCAUUGAUUUAGCACCGGCUCCAUGUGCUCUGUGUUCAGGUUUUUUUUGUGUGUGUGGGGUUUCUGCAAAUACUUGGUAAAAUUUUGUUACAAUUUUUCGAGUUUUAUGAGGACGUUUUUAUCCCUACACGCCCCUCAGAUAACGUUUGUUUGUUUGUUUUGUUUGUAUUUUGAUUCAUUCAAAUAUAUUGAGUGUGAUAUCAAAGCAAACAGGAGAAUCAAUUUCACUCUGAUUCAGAAUCGGCAAACAAGCUAACCAGAUUGAAGGUACCCUUUAAAGACUGACUUUACCCACUAAUUCAUGUAAAGACAUCAAAAUGAUUAAAUAAACAGCAACAUUGGAAUGAUCCGUUGUUAAAAAAAAUUACAACUAUUAAUAAAAUGAUGUAAAUCUGCCCUCAAAAUCUGUCCAGAUGCUCAUAAUCUGUGCUGAUUAUCUGAUUGGUUGCUGGUGAUGACAUCACACAACACUCUCACGUGUGUUGAGAUGGUGGAGUGUUUACCUGCGCUGAGAUAUGACUCUAUAGGUGUGUAGUAAUGUUCUCAGUGUGUGAACAUUCCACUCCCUGCCCUGAGCUGCGCUCCACACUUCCUCAGGAAACAGCCUUCACUUCCUGUACAAUUACCCGAGCGAAGGCUGUGUGGCGUGAUAGCUACUGCGAAUCCUCCUCUGCGUCUCGCUACUUCACACAUUCACACCGUUUCUCACACUCUUUCUGGUCAGUGUAGUGGUCAGCCAUGUGGACGAUACGAUGUUCCCAUCUCCUCCUCCACCUCCUCCUGAGCUUCACCUGUACACGAGCUGAAUCAGGUCAGUAUUCCAUCAGUUACUCUUCAUGCUAGCGUACUAACUGCACAAUGACACCAUCGCACACUACAGCGGUGCAGCUGCAAAUCACAGGUUUAUAUUCAUAUUAAUGUGCUCAUUACGUUACGUAAUACGUUAUCGUUUCUAUAGUAGCAGCUCAUACACAGGGACUCGUACUGCGGACGCUCCACUGAUAUUAAACGGAUUACAAAAAAAUAUUUAUACACUAUGGUUAUGUUUUCUGUAAGGAGAUGGUUAUUUUAUAUUUAUGGAAGGAGUCUCCAGUGUCGGCGCUUUGUAACAGUUGCAACUUUCCUUUUUUCUCUCUCUCUCAUUAACUUCAAGAGAACUGGAACUGACUUGUUUCACCGACAUUAAAUAUAACUGUAAAAUGAAAAGUAUGACUUUUUAUUUUAAUGAUUAAAAAAUUGUAAUUUUUAUCAAAUUGCUGCAGUAUUAUAAGAAGAAUAAAACAUGUAGACAUGUGGUUAUUUAAAAAAAAUGAUCAACUGUUACUUAUUAAAUUGCUUAAUUACCUAUAAAUGGAUUUUUUUUUUUUUUUAAGUAUGACUGCUGUGGUGUAACAGGAACAAAACACUUAAG